GACCGCAUGGCCUAAUGGAUAAGGCGUCUGACUUCGAAUCAGAAGAUUGAGGGU
rnacentral:tRNA from 1 species